GUGACGUGAGAUUGCUUAUUUCUUCCGGUAGUGAUACCAACUUUGGGAAAGAUGUAAUCGUAAGCGAUUGGAGUGAUGGGAGGUUGACGACGACCACUUCUGGCGGUAAUGUCAGAUUAGAGCAAUCUCCAAUUGCAAGCUCCUGAAGUGAUGUAAGAUUGGCGAUCCCUCUUAACAUUGAUGUCAAAUUGGAGCGAUUUCUAACUGUAAGCUCCCGAAAGGAUGCGAGGUUGCCCAUCCCAUGAUAUGGUAGUAAUGCCAAAUUUGGGCAAUCUCUAAUGUAAAGCGAUUGGAGUGAUGGGAUGUUGCCCAUUCCUUGUGACGUUAGACAUUCCAAAUCCUCAAUUUUAAUGAGUGACAGACGUGUUAAUUUGGAGAGAUGAGGGGAGGAAGAAGAGGCAGAGACAUCAACACCAACAUCAUGUGUAAUAUCAGAUGCUCCUCUACCAAACAAGGAAUCAACAACCUUCCAGCUGCACCCAUUGAGAUCUAUUCCCUCCACAUUUGGAUACAGAGGCAUGGAAGUUAGAUUAGGACAAUCCCAGAUCUGCAAUGUAGAAAGACAGGGAAAAGAAGGCAACGACAGAUUUUCCGUUGAUGAAGAAGAAGAAGCAUUGUUAUGAGUGUGCGCCCUCCACCAUCCCUUCAGAACAGGGCAAUCGGAUAAGCAGAGGAACUCCAGGGACGUCAUCAUCUCAUCACUCAUACUAUUACUGCUGCUGGUAUCGUCUGAUAUGUACUCCAACUUCUCAAACCCUUCAAGUUGAAGAGACUUGAGGGAUGGGAAAUGAUCCAAGGGUGGAAGAUGUUGGCAUCUAUGACACCCAGUCAAUGUGAGAUCAACAAGAUUUAUGAGAGAAGAAAACCAACUCGCAAACCUCACACCACCAUAAUCAGACACGGACAACAUCUUUAGAUUUGAAUGGGGUUGCAACACUUCCAUUGACAUUAUAAUAUCCUUCUCAUCAACUGCGUUUACAUCUUCUCCACGUUUCCAGUCUAAAGUCAAUGAAUGGAGAUGCUGUUUCUCCAUGAGAGGUGUACCAACAUUUGAAUCUGACAUCACAUCUUUCUCCUGCCUCAAAUUUAUAAUUUCUAACUGUCCCCUUAAUUCCCUAAGCUUUCCCAGUUCACCAAGACCAGCACUGUCCCUCAACAAAGAAUUGUUUUCGCUUAAAACAAAUUUAUCCAAUGUACGAAGACCGGUCAGCUCCCCCAAUCCACGUGGCAUUCGAGUCAAUUUAUCACAGCCUUCCAAGAUGAGAUACCUUAAGUUUAUCAUUUUUUUUAUGUCUCUAGGCAAUUCCAUAAGCUUCCGGCAGUAAGAGAGAUCAAGUGUUUCCAAAUUCGAAAGUCCAACUAUCGAAUCUGGAAUUCUCUCGAUGGGAUUACCAGUAAGAUCAAGAUAUCUCAAAUGUUUCACUUUUUUAAGACAAUUAGGUAAUUUUGUAAUUCCAAAGUCGUUGAGACUCAGCAUACGCAAUGACUUAAAAUUUGAAAUAAUUGUAGCACAAGAUGAAUUCUUUACUGAAAAACUUCUAUACUCUUGGCAAGGAAGAAGAAAGGUUCGUAUCUUUUUCGCUUUUAGCAAGGAAGUUGGCACUUCCCAUUUCAACAGAUGAACAUGAAAAUUGAAAGAUACAUGACAAAGCUUUUCAUGAAAUUUUUUUUGGUUCCGAUCAACAACGGUGCUUCCGACCCCCGACACUAAUAUUGCAAGUUCAUUCAUGAGAUCGUGCAUUUUACAACUUUUUAUUCUUCCAAACUCAUCUUUUUCUUCUUGAAAAAACGAUCUGCACAACAAUUCCAUAUAAUAUUCAUACGCAACAUCCUCCAAACUCUCGUUUUCAUCGGAUGACUUAAUGAACCCUUGCGCCACCCAAAGUCUAAUCAACAUCGGUACAGAGAUCUCAUAAUCAGGUGGAAACAAGCUACAGUAAGCAAAACAAUGCUUCAAAUGUGAUGGGAGCACAUCAUAACUUAGUUUAAGUGUUGGUAAAAUUUCAUUUUCUUCCUGAUUUAUUCUUGAAAGUUUAUUUUCUUUGAAAUUCAACCAUUCUGUUUCGUGAUAUUUGGUGCGCAACAUCCCACCUAUUGUCCUUAUAGCGAGUGGAACUCCUUGACAUUUUCUUGCAACCUCCUUCCCAAUUGCCUUAAUUGUUGAAUUCUCUGGCUCUUUUCCAUCUUUAAAAGCCAUUUCCUUAAAUAAAGACCAACUGUCCUCUUGAUUCAAACCCCUUAAGGUGUAUGGUUUAGUUGUGUCUGAUAUCGUCGCAACCGCUUCACUACGAGUGGUUAUCAGUAUUCUACUACCUUUUCCACCCCCCAUUAACAAGUACUUCAAGCUAAGCCAUUUCUCCCGAUUCUCAUUCCACACAUCAUCCAACACAAUUAGAUAUUUCUUCCCAUCUACUUUUCUUCUAAGAUCAUUUUGCAGCUCAUCCAUAUCAAUCUUGUCAACUUUUAGUAUUUUCUUAACGACUAUAUCCAACUCAAAUACAUUAGAGAUACAUGACCAUAUUUUCAACUCAAAAUGAUUUUGAAUCACCUCAUCGUUGAAUAUGAGUUGGGCAAGAGCAGUUUUCCCCAAUCCUCCAAAUCCAACUAUGGAAAUGGUUGACACAUUCUCAGUUGAGAUGUGAUCCAACAAAAGUUGAAUAAUUGCAUUUUUAUCUUCAUCUCUCCCUAUAACAUUUUCCUUAGGGACAAAUGAGUGAGUGAUCCUCUCUCUAAUUAUAAAUCGUGUAUCUUCACGAUUUAUUUCCAAGUGAAAGGCUCUACGAGAUGCAACCUCAUGAAGCCUCUUGUUUAUAUCUUUUAUCUUAUGACUCAUCUUUAGCCGGAAAGCAAGUUGAUUUGAGCUAGAGAAGAAGAGGCGUACCUUCUUUGACAUCUUAGUAUUGUCACACAUCAUUUGUCUCUGCAGAGCUUCAGUAUUAAACUCAUCCAGCAAGUCAUCGGCUUCAUAAACUGCAUCUUCUACGCUUUUGAGCCACAGUUUGACUUCAUUGUUGGUUUGCUUUUGCUCAGCGUCAAGAAGAACACCUUGGAAUCCGGCAACUAUCUCCUUGAGCUUGUGGAGCUCAUCUUGGACACCCCAAAUUAAUCCGAUCUCUUGGAAAGCAAGGGAGCCUAGCCCUCCGAUGAUUCGUGCUGCAACGUUGAAGAGAACUCCUUCCGCCAUUUUUUGUAUUCAGGACAAGCAAAAACACAAGUGAAGUGAAUUAAUGUAGUGAAAAAUGCCUCCCCCUGCUCGUCCUUGUACGCCCUUCUCUCGUCUAACAACUCACACAUCAUUCCAUGUAUAAAAUAUAAACAAAGACUGUUGAAUAAAUUACUGCCGGCCUCUUUCCAAAAAAAAAAAAAAAAAAAAAAAAAUUACUGCCGGCCUUAAUAAUUGAAAGUUGAUUUUUAAUGCGGAAAAGGAUCCCUCCGGAUCCAUUACGUGGGGAUUAUAGGAAUCUACCCAUUUCAACCAUUUAUUGUAUAUCAUGUGAUCAGUUUUCAUCAGAUAUUAUUUGUGUUUAAUUUUAAAUAAUAAAAGACAAUUAAUUUAUAACCGCAUGAUACACAAUAAACGGCUGAGAUGUGAAGUCCUCCACGUUGUGUUGUCUUUAAGUUGCUUGGCAUCUUCUGUACUUAUUUAUUCAUCGUAAUUAAUAAUUAACAGUGUGUGUUGGAAUUUGUAUUGGAUUGCUGUGCUAUCGAAUCGACACAAGCAUCAACAGUGUGUGUGCCUUUCCUACUACUCUGUGGGAUAAACAGAUUUGGUUGACAGACCGAACCAUAAACCGAAAUACGACGCCCUUUGCACAAUUGACCCGUUACACAUUUACUGUCUACAUCUGUAUAAACAGCGCUGCUGGAGAUAAUGAACGUCCGGCUUUGGGUGUUACUUUAAAUUGAUCGACGAAACUCGCCACCUGGUCUCGUGCUUCUGCUAUUGCUCAAAGGGGAUGAAAUCUGACUGGACAGUUGCACAUCAGAUAGUGAAACAGAACCGCUCUUUGAAAAAAUCAAUCCACCUGAACUACUUGAGGUGUUCCCGGAAGAAGGCACUCUAUCCUUUUUGGAAGCUGAAAGUAAUUCGGGCCGGAGAUCCGAUGAUGAGGAUGAUGGAGCCAGGGUGGCCAGCAGAGACCCAACCGGGUAUUGAACAGGAGGCAUAUCAACGAGAGAUGAAGCUGAGAGGUUGCACCUCAUGCUCUGCACUGGAUGGUCAAAUUUGCAUGUAGAUCCAAACUUGCACUGGCCAUUUUGCAGGUAGAAUGUACACGGCUGCACUCCCUGUCCAAACAAAAGCACGUUAAUUUUCUCCAUCGAAUAUGACAUUGUUUAACAAAUUAAUGAAAUAUACGCAAUUCACUACAUAUAUGGUAUAAUGCUCAUAAUAAUCAACACGGGCACAAAAAGGCACGAUAAUACUUUUGUUGCUUCACAAUAAAAAUCUAAAAACGUAUGUUGCUUCACGAUAAUACUUUUGUUACAAAGCGGCCAACCAAAUUUAAAUAAUAAAACAAAAAAUGUGAAGAAGAAGACUCUGAACCAGCAAGACCAGAUAAAGAAAAGCAACCCUACAUUAGAGGGGAAAGACAUCUCAAAGAAUGACAGCAAUAGCAAUUCUAUCAACGAUGAUCAAACUGAUAAAAAGUAACCGUAAUAUAGAGAAAGCAAAAAUAUAAAACAUAAAGUGAGCACUGAGAAUAAUGCAAGUGCGGAAGCACAAAACUCAAGCAUAGAUUAUUUUGUUUCACGACUGCAGCAAAGGUUUUCCAGUCAAGGAACCUUCUGUCAUCUUGCUCCCUUAUUCCAUAAGGACCUUUUGGAUAAAAAAACUAUUUCAUAAGGUUUUUCAGCAACCAGAGGCAAAUUUGUUUUCGAGUUACAACUUAUAAUGUGUUGCCGUGUCAUCUGAUUCCUAUAUUGAGCACAUUACACAUAAACAUUAUUCCUACAUUAACCAUACAACUACUUAUGCUCAUUGACACAUCUUCUAAACUGGGGCCCACCGUACAACCCUACAAUAUUUGGGGGCAUGAAACACUAGCAAAUCUGGACAGGUACCUUUGGGUUUCAAACCUGAGACCACACGGGACAAACCCAUGUGCCUCAGCCACCCUAAUGAGCCCCUGUUGGUUGAUGCUCAUUAAAUAUUCUUGUACAAAAUAUAACCUUAAUAAAAGAAGACUGCUUACUCAACCUAUAAACAUAGUAUGACAGCCUUUUCUUUGCCACCUAAUUUGUAUUUCAUUUGGUUGUACAAAGGAUGCCAACCAGGUAUGCCUUUAGAUAUGAUAGUAGCAUCCCACAAUCCCCUUUUGGAAAAAGAUUACUGUUUAAUCGAGUAAAAGAAAAACAACUCUUGGGUCUACCAACUUGGAUAACCAAGUGAUGAACUUGAUAACUUCUAACAGCGGAAUUUAAAAAACUAAAAAUAAAAAUUCAUCAAAAAUAAUAUAAAACAACUUUGCAUACCGGACGGAGUGGGAGAUCCAUCGGACUAAGGAGACACGUUAUUCUCGGUACAGUUCGAUCCCGAGGAUGAUGAUACCUACAAGAUGGUCCAUAUUUACAGUCCCCAGUUUUCAGAUAAUACUCGCAUUCAAGUUCGCCAGGCCUCUCUGGGAAAACUUGUUCACUCCGGUUGCUGCUAGAAGGACCAACAGAAGAGGGUAUGGAGGUAUAAGGGCUUGCAAGUCCGUGUAUUGGAGAAGAUAGCUGUGUUACUCCAUAUAAAGAAGUUGCUCCAGGAGAUGGUACUAAGGGACUGCAACAAGUAAUAACAUAUUACCAGUUAGUAAUGAACUUCAAUCAUAAUAUAUCAACCUGAAUAUGUCUUUUAUCAUACCGAACUACGGACUCCAACCCUGAAUCGGAAAACAACUCCGGGAGGAAUCAAGACAGGACCGUAAGUCCCUUGCACAUAUGAUCCAUUUAUUAUAAGUGGAGGCCUAGGCCACCCUCCAAACUGGCCUGGAAUGGAGCCCCCCCCCCCCAAAUACUGUUCUGCCAAAGGCACAGGAGACUGCAAUACAGAAUUGGGUGCAAUUCCGGUUGUUUUCCAGAAGUUGUAGUGAAGAUGGUUGGCAUGCCACCUGUUAUGAAAUUACAAUUGCUUUUUAGGAUGCCAAUUGCAUUCCGCCCGUGUUCCCAUGCAAUAACUAAGUUCAUUCUGGCCAAAAUUUGAAACAAAGGAAUGCAACCGACUUUAAAGAUUAAGGUGGAAACCAAAUGUGGAGAUAUUGUUGUAGUCCAGAGCUUGACAUGAUGGUCAUUUACAGGAAAUCAAAAAUCGUUUUGCCCCCAUUAAUAAAUAAUAGGUGAGCUCUUUUUUAAGGAUCCAGCCCUGUUAUAAAAAAAAUAUAAUUUAAAAAAAAAACAACUGUGAGCCACUUGCUCACAAAUUUCACAAAAGUCACACACCACCAUAUGUGGAUGAGAGGGAAACAGAGAGAAAUCAGCAAACCGGUCGUAAUGGGUAUCCAUAAAUAUUUAGGUGAGCUCGGUUUAAGGAUCCAGCUCCAAAGGUUGCAGGACGCACCAAAUUUACAGGUCCCAGUCUUUAAAUAAUACUGCACAUUAGACAAACAUAUGCCACAAUCACAUAUGAAGUUCAAAGCUCAAACAAAUAAAUGGACAACAUAACAAAGUUGCCAAAAAGUUUCCAGAUCUCCAUUGUCAUUAUCAGGCAGGAAAUUCACAUUUUACAACAGAUCAGAAAACUACUGCAUACCUCACAUACAGGUUCCCCUACUAUCUCUGGGUAAUCCCCUGUAGCUCUUACAGUUGCCAUGACCUACGUGCAGCAUCAAACCGAAAUCAUAAACAAAAGAUAACAAAAUUCACAAGCAAAGACGAUUUAAGUUACCAAUAAAAUCCAAGCAGUUGUAACUAAGACGACAUUUCCCACUGCACCGAGCCCAAAACACAAAUAUUAGGCAUUUUCAUCAAAUAUAGACUAGUUUAACUAUGUCAAAUAAAUUCCAAAAAUAGUUCCCAUUCUUUUCCCCAGCUUUCUCAGCAAACAAACAAUCAUCUAGUUUCAGGUAAAGGGACAAAAAACUACCUGCAACAAAACACUCAAACUUACGAAAAUUCAAAACAACCUAUAUAUCCUGUUGCAGUCACCUAUAACUGAAAAGCUUGGUACUAGUUUACAUAUCAAAACCUGGCAAUUAAGCAGUAUCGAAAAAGCUCAUUAACCGAUUGCAAUGCAAGUUUACAACGAACAAGGACUUACCGCAGCACGAUCACGAGGAUGGUUGUACCGGCACCGACCACCGUAUCCACAGAACCCGGUUCGCAUGUAGUAGACACAGUUGGGCACGCCAGGUCUCUCCGGAUAUGACUCGCUGCUCGUCAGCCCCAAUUGCCACAUUUGCUCUAAAAGUCACCCCCAAACCAGAACAAAACCCCAAUCACAACCCCACAUUACCGAACCAAACACGAAACCCUAGAAACCCCAGAUUACGAAAUUAGCCCAAAUCGAGCUCAAACAAAGCGAAAUUGAAACGCCGAGCAAGUAAAGGAGUACCUUCGAGGCCGGAGAUCCGAUGAUGAGGAUGAUGGAGCCAGGGUGGCCAGCACAGACCCAACCGGAUAUUGAACUACAUGCAUAUCAACGAGAGAUGAAGCUGAGAGGUUGUACCUCAUUUGCAUGUAGAUCCAAACCUGCACUGACCAUUUUGCAGGUAGAAUGUACACGGUUGCACAGUUGCACUCCCUGUCCAAACAAAAGCACGUUAAUUUUCUCCAUAGAAUAUGACAUUGUCAACAAAUUAAUGAAAUAUACGCAAUUCGCCAUAUAUAUGGGAUAAUGCUCGUAAUAAUCGACAUAGGGGUUUUGAACAAAAAAAAUAAAACCAACAUAGGGGCACAAAAAGGCACGACAUCCAUUUUGGUUUCGAAAUCUUGAAUCUGAUCAAGUGAAAGAAUCAUACGACUCUGACUUCCAACUCUGCUGCUGCACUGAAGCAUCAUACUUUUCUUCAUAUGGUUGCCAGAUUCGGUGAAAUCCCGUCCGAAUUCCGUACCGGUACGGACGUACCAGUACUUUUUGGAUUCGGUGGUUCAUCUAACCAUCUCCAAUAAUUUCUAAUCAGAUUACAGAAAAGCUGUAAUUUUUGGGAAGAGAGGAUCGAAACAACUGGAAUUUUGGGAAGCUCUGUGCUUCUGGUUUUCGUCAGGUAGAGGGAAGACGAUGAGGGAGAGGAAGAGAGAUAAAAUAUAAAGUUUAAUUGUACUUUUUAAUAUUUUUAUUGUGUUAGUUGAGGAUUCCAUCUGGAGUACUGAUUUUUCAGAGAAGAUGCUGUGCUUUGAAAAAAAACUGUUGUGAGAAUAAUCGGUUGUGCUAUGAGAAUAAGUGGCUGUGAAAUAAAUCAGCUGAGUGUUUGGUAAACAUUUUUGUAAAAGUGCUUUUGGAAAGAAAAAAAAAGCAUUAUGAUAGUGGGUCUUUUCAUUAAAGGAGCACUGUAACUCCAUGUGCUUUGAAAAAAAAGCCAGUUUCCAAAGCUACAAAUAGCUGCUUCAGCUUUUUCCUUUGAUUUCAGCUUAUUCUCACAGCAGCUUCCAAAAUAAGCCCUUUUUUUUUAGUUUACCAAACACCUAAAACCCUUACAGUUUUUUUUCAUGGGUGCUUUUUUUUAAAGCACCUCACUCCCAAACCACCCCGUAAAGAGUCGGAGGAGGCCGAUAGCAUUUCCCAAGUUCCAUAUUAAUGUAAUAUUUAUAUUAUUGGCUUAAAUGUUAAAAUGGUUCUUAUGUUUUAGUUAUUGACUCAAUUUAGUCCAUGUGUUUUCAAUUUGGCCAAUUUGGUCCUUGUGCUUUAUUCAUUGGGUCAAAUUAGUCCAUGUGUUUUCAAUUUAGCCAAUCUGGUCCUUGUGUUUAUCUUCGUUAGCCAAUUAAGGACAUUUUAUCUAAUUUUAGAAAAAAAAAUUAUAAAUUAUUAUAAACUUAUUUAUAAAAUUAUUUAUUUGAUUUAAAAUAUUUAAAAAUGAAAUAAAAUUAAAAAUUAAAAAAUAUAUAUUCUCCUCCCAACUCUCCGACCUUCUCCCUAACAUUACCCCCUUUCUUUUCUAUGUCACAACCUUAAUCGUUUUUCAGAUUGGAAGUUUUAUCUCUUAUAUGUGUUAUUUCUCAUUGACUUUCAUUUUUCUGUAAAGAGAAAGGGUAAUUAUAUCUCAUAUAAUUUUUCUUAUGAAUUUUUUAAAAGAGAUUGAAUGAAAUGUCCUGAAUUGGCUAACAUAGACAAUUAAGUGUCAAAAUAGUUCCUAAAAUAAAUGGGUCUGAUUUAAUAAUCCGGUGAUUAUUUAAUACAAGGCUUAAAUGUCAAAAUAGUCCAUGUGUUAUAGCCAUAUGUCCAAUUUAGUAUUUGUGUAGUUUAUUUGACUAAUUUAGUCAUCGUGUUUGUCUAUAUUAGCCAAUUAAGGACAUUUCAUUCAAUCUCUUUUAAAAAAUUCAUAAGAAAAAUUAUAUGAGAUAUAAUUACCCUCUCUCUUUACAGAAAAAUGAAAGUCAAUGAGAAAUAACACAUAUAAGAGAUAAAACUUCCAAUCUGAAAAAUGAUUAAGGUUGUGACAUAGAAAAGAGAUGGGUAAUGUUAGGGAGGAGGUCGGAGAGUUGGGAGAAGAAUAUAUAUUUUUUAAUUUUUAAUUUUAUUUCAUUUUUAAAUAUUUUAAAUCAAAUAAAUAAUUUUAUAAUAAUUUAUAAAAAAAAAUUCAAAAAUUAGAUAAAAUGUCCUUAAUUGGCUAACGGAGAUAAACACAAUAACCAAAUUGGCCAAAUUGAAAACACAGGGACUAAAUUGACCCAAUGACUAAAACAACCAAAUUGGCCAAAUUGAAAACACAUGGACUAAAUUAACUCAAUGACUAAAACACAAUAACCAUUUUAACAUUUAAGCCUAUAUUAUUCUGACUAGACAAUUAAGUGAAUUAAUUGUUUUUUAUUUGUUGCUUACAAAUAAUCAAUUUAAACAAAAAUAAUUGUUUAUAAUUGUAGACAUCGAAAUUUCGGUAAAUAAAUGUUGACCGAUAAAUCAAAGUGUCAACGCUCAUGUAUUACAUAAAUUUUACACGUAGCGUGUGACUCAACGAAAAUUGAAAUGAGUUGGAAAAGUCAUCAAAUAGGACAUGUGUCAACACCUGGCAGAAAUGACUUAUUUCAUCUGGGAUAUUAUAUUCAAAAUUAGGCCUUGGAAAAUUCUAUAAAUACAAGCCAAUUUCAUUCAUUUGGGGGGAACCAAAAUCAUUAAGCAAGCUCUGAAGCUCUGAAACUCCGAAGCUCUCAAGCAUCCAGGUUCCCGAAGAAUCAAGAAAGCUCUCUUCGUUCUUCGUUCAUCGUUCUUCCAAGAUCAAGCCCCAACGGCCCUUUAGAUCAACAAUCAUCCACCAAUUCAAGAUCAAGCCCCGACAGCCCUUGAAGAAAGCACCGCCGUUCAUCAUCCGUUCAUCCAAGAUCAAGCCACAACGGCCUUUUGGAUCAACAACGUCGACAAAUCCACACACAUCCAACCGUUCUUCAAGAUUAAGCCCAAAAGCCCUUGAAGAUCUGUUCAUCACUGUUUCUUCAAGAUCAAGCCCAAAAGCCCUCGAAGAUCCGUUCAUCACCGUUCCUCAAGAUCAAGCCCCAACGGCUCCUUGAAGAUCCGCUCAAAUCCACUUUCAAAGAUCAAGCCCACGGCCCUUAAAGAACGUUCAUCCAAGAUCAAGUCUCGACGACCCUUGGAUCAAUCGCACAUCCACCAAUCAACACCUUACGGAGAUCAAAUCAGAUGAUCAAAUUAGAGAGAGAUUGUAACCCAAAACUAUCAAAAUACAAAUAUUUGUUUGUGCACGUUGUUCUUGUCUAUUUCGUUUCAGGAAUUUUCCGUGUUUACAAAUUGGCACGCCCAGUGGGACAAUCUCUACCUCUCAUCUCUUUCUCCGUUCAAGGAAUCCAAACACACCUCAAAGUCAAUGGCAUCAAGUAAGGGACAGGCGUCUCUCGCAACCACUGAGGGAUGGAUCCUAAGCACUUCUGCCGCAAAUGGACAAUCCAUUGGCCACAACCGCUCCUCAACAUGCCACUUCAAUGUUUGUGCCGCUAAAAGAACAAGGGGAGCAUCAAAGGUGUGAGUCUGUCAUCAACCUGACCUCGCUGAGGGCACCGAAGCAUGCUGUUGAGGCACACAAGAUGACAUCCCAAAACAGCCAACGACGUUCUUCGUCAACAUCUUGGAUGUCUAAAGGAAAGUCACGUCUAUUGGUUGCACAAGUCAUGACCAUCGGCGUUACCUCCAUCGAAGAACAACUGGCUCAAAUGAAUGAAGCGAUCGCAAGGCUAACACGGAUUGUUGAAGAAAAAGACUUGCAAAUCGCUGCACUCGUCAGCCGACUGAAGCCACAGGACGACGAGAACCCCGACCCAGAGAAUGAUCCACUAAAGAGAAAAGAUGACGAAGAAGAUGAGCCUCAGGUGGAGAAAAACGAUGUGAAGCCGGAGCCAGACCAAGCAGCGGCACUCAUGAGAUCUCUUUCUAUCCAGCAGCUGCAAGAGAUUAUCACCAACACCAUCAAGGCACAGUACGAAGGGAGCUCAAAUACCUCCGGGUUGUACUCAAAGCCGUAUUCAAAGAAGAUCGAUGCCUUAAGGAUGCCGAGGGGUUAUCAACCACCAAAGUUCAUGCAAUUUGAUGGAAAGGGAAACCCGAAACAGCACGUUGCCCACUUCGUUGAAACUUGCAACAACGCAGGAACCGAAGGGGACUACCUCGCCAAGCAGUUUGUGCGCUCACUGAAAGGAAACGCCUUUUAGUGGUACACGGACCUAGAGCCUGAGUCCAUCAACAGCUGGGAACAGUUGGAAAGGGAAUUCCUCAACCGCUUCUACAACACCCGUCGCACUGUGAGCAUGCUAGAGCUAACGAGCACAAAGCAAUGGAAGGAUGAGCCAGUCAUUGACUACAUCAACAGAUGGCGCACUCUAAGCCUCGACUGUAAAGACAGGCUCUCGGAAACCUCUUCAAUCGAGAUGUGCAUCCAAGGCAUGCAAUGGGGUUUGCAAUACAUCAUUCAAGGCAUUAAACCACGGACUUUCGAGGAAUUGGCCACUCGCGCCCAUGACAUGGAGUUGAGCAUCGCCCAUCAUGGGAAGAAAGAACCGAUCGCCGACUACAAGAACGAUAAAGUUCUUGGGCCAAAGUUGGAGAAGACUGCGUGGAAACCCACCAAGGAAGCAAUGACGGUCAACACAGCUCCCGUCAAAAUCCCUACACGAGGCAAGGCAAUUCAAACCGAAGCUUUUCGUGAUCAAGAGAUGCGUAGACGCACUUUGAAGGAGCUUGAGGAGAGGACUUAUCCAUUCCUCGACUCUGAUGUGGUUGCCAUGUUAGAAGACUUGCUGGAAAAGAAGGUGAUUAGUUUGCCUGAGUGCAAACGGCCAGAAGAGAUGAAUCGCACUGACAGUCCAAGGUACUGUAAAUUCCACCGCUUCAUCAGUCAUCCGACAGAAAAAUGUUUCGUGCUGAAAGAUCUCAUCAUGAAGCUGGCUCAGAAAGGAAUCAUCGAGCUAGAUCUUGACGAUGUGGUGAAGUCAAACUAUACCACUUUCACUUCUGGCUCUUCCGACUCAAAGUUUUCACCUCAACCGCUGGGGGCAUCCUCCAAGACAAGCAAAGUUGAAGGAUGGACUCAAGUCACUCCUAAGAAAUUGCACAAGAAGCAUACGUCUCAUCCACAAGUCCGCCAAUCGGAAAGGGGGCAAAGCAGCUCUUGUCAACCUUCAAAGCAACGUGAACGUGUUGAAGAUGAUGAAAUUUCAACACAUAGACCAUCCAUCCCCAUCACGAUGCGCGAUUUCUUUCCUGAAGACUUCUUCAAUCACUCGGUCAAGAUUCCUUGCUAUGAAAAUUGCAAGGAAAGCCUCUCCAGGAUCGUUUAACAAAUUCACAAUGCUUCUUGUUCGCACGAGCCUAAACUGCACGAACCAAAGCUCCUCGCUUGCACGAGCCUAAACUGCAUGGCACAAUGCUCCUGGUCUGCACGAGCAUAAAAGGCAACACCAAUGCUCCUGGUCUGCACGAGCAUAAAAGGCAACACCAACGCUCCUGGUCUGGUCUGCACGAGCAUAAAAGGCAACACCAACGUUCCUGGUCUGCACGAGCAUAAAAGGCGACACCAAUGCUCCUUGUUCGCACGAGCCUAAGCUGCACGAACCAAUGCUCCUUGUUCGCACGAGCCUAAACUGCACGAACCAAAGCUCCUUGUCCACACGAGCCUAAACUAUAGGACACAAGGCUCAUCGCUUGCACGAGCCUAAACUGCAUGGCACAACGCUCCUGAUUCGCACGAGCAUAAAAUGUGACACCAACGCUCCUGGUCUGCACGAGCAUAAAAGGCAACACCAAACACUUCUUGUCUGCAUGAGUUAAAACUGCAAACGGCACAAAAAAGAAAAUACCAAAAAAAAAAUAUGUAUGUAUUUGAACUACGUUACGACUUGAUCUCUUCUUUGGAGGGGUACGUAGGCAGCUCGAAUGUUCAAAUUUUUCGAGUUCAGUCACAUCAAAAUAAAAAGAAUAAAUGUUUUAUUAAAGAAGGUCAAUUUUAUUACGAAUUUAUUUUGUUAAGAAAAUUUGCAAUUUUCUUUGUACAAAAUUAAAUUACAGUUUCUUCGGAAAAAAAAAGGAGGAAAAAACAAAAUUAAAUCAGAAGAUGGAAGCUUUUCUCCGCACUCGGCCUACUGGGCCUUUCUCUGCUUGGCCUGCGAUGCCAGGAUCCAUGCCAGCAAAACCCUAAUCACCAUAACCACGUGGCGGUGGAAAAACAAAACAACAUCAAACACAAGAAAUACAAGCAGCCAAGCUCUCCAGGUGGGAGGCAGAGGAGAAAGAGCAGCAUUAGUCAUUUUCGAAGCUCGAGCACCAUGGAUGCCAAGUCCGUGUAUUCCUCAUCGAGUUCAGGGUUUCGAACACCUCCUCCUUAUAGCCAUGCACAAACAGCAGCCUCCAAGAGCUAUAAAUAUUUGAGAAGCUAUUCGGAUAAUCAACAUCAGCACCAGCACCAACAACAACAUUUAUCUAAGCAAUUGCUUCAGCAAGCGCAGUUGUUCUUCUCUAAUACCUACAUGCAGGCCCAAGCUCUACAUUCCAAUAGUAACACCUCUACUCAAUCUCCUUCAAGUGGGUAUUACCAUGGUCCAAGACGCAGACCUGAGCAACAGCAGCAGUCACAAGGCUCAUCUGGGACUUCCUCGAGUGGGAUGUUGUCACUCUGCCCUCCCGUUACACAUUCUAAUAUGAGCACCAAUGAUCCUGCAAAGGCGGCAGCUACUACAGCUGCCAGCAACAUGAAAGGCGGUAACUUAUCCUUGCAUGCUCUUAUGCAUGAUCAGUUUGCUGCAGCACAAUCCUCCGGGCCACACCAGCUUGUACCUGUAGGUUUCCCUUAUGUACAUGCUGCUGUUCCUAGUACGGUCCAGGUAAAACCGGCAGAACAGAAGAAACAACCCGCCGGUGAGUAGAACAGUUAUCCCUUGGCGCAACAUUGCAACCCCCCCCCAAAAUUUUACGGAUGAAAAACUGGAAAAGGAAGCUGAAAUCAGUUUAGGUGGCGGGGAUUGUGUACGAAAAGCUUGAUUCUUGCCCAAGGAAACGAGAAUUUGCAUUCUCCCUCUGGCAGCCUAAGAAGAAGUGGAAGAAAAAGCAAGAACAAGACACCGGGAAGGUCUAGGUGGAAUGGAAUUUGAACCCACAAUUUUGGGAUGAAAGUUUAGCAGGAUGGGAAAUUGCAGGAAAAGUUGGGAUGUUUUGUUGGGGCAGAAAGAGAGAAGAACGGCAUAAGAGGAGGAUGUCACCCAAAUCCAAGUCCGGCGAGCUCACGGACCUCAAGCUAGAAUCCAGGUCCGUCUCUCAGCUAACUCUCAUCUCUCUCUCGGUCCGUACACCCCUCAAGCCCACUCGUCUCCAUAGCUCCACCGUCAACUAUUACAUUUCCCUCAAAGCCGCUGUCCAUCCACGUGGUGCUGAGCUUGAUCGCGGCCGGGUCAAAAGGUCCGACCAAGGACCAGCUGCUCUCGCUCCUCCUGUAGCAGCACCGUCAGCAGCAGUACCCCACCCACGUUUUGGUUCGAUAAGCUACCCUCCUCCAAUAUAGCAAAGUCCAAAGUCAUCGAGAACUUCAAGGUUCUGGGCGUCAAUUUCGUCCUGGGUGAUCUGUACGAUCACGAGAGCUCGGUGAAUGUGAUCAAGCAAGUCGACGUGGUGAUCUCGACGGUGAAACAUGGUCAGUUGGCUGAUCAGGGAAAUAUCAUUACUUACGCAGGCAGCUCGUUUUUAAAGUCCAUGCGGAGCAGAUGUUUGUUGGACAUGGAGAUCGGUUAUCCAAUGUCAUCCAAACAGAAACUCAAAGCCGGAGAUCAUGAGAGCAGCCGAAGAAAGAGAGAUGUUCUCCGCUCCCUGCUGCUAUCGACUCCCUCAAAGUUCAGACGGCUGCUCCUUGUUCCUCUCUGCCCAACGAGAGUCCCAUCCGUGAGCCCAGAUACCACAAUGUGCACCCUCGUCUCGGCCGAUAGCAACGGAAAGGCAGCAGCAAAGUGGUGACAUUCGGAGACCGUAAGCCCACCGUAAUUCUCUCUCCGUCUCUCUUAGACGAACAACAAUAGUGUCGCUCACUCCAGGACCAGCUGCUCUUGCACCUCCCGUGGUAGCACCGUCGGCAGCAAGCAAGUCAUCUUCCUCCGUGCUCCUCCUUCUUCCUCCUCCAAGCUCCAAUCCUGCACCCUAUAUAUAUAUAUAUAUAUAUAUCUAUAUGUAUGUACGUACGUAUGUAUGUAUGCAUGAAAAGGACAAAAAAAAAAUAAUAAUAAUAAUUUAUAAAAAAAGGGAAAAGAUGAGACAUGGUGCACCCGGCACCGAAAGCGAAAAUAAAAUAAAAUAAAAUAAUAAAAUAAUAAAAAAAAAUAUAUAUAUAUAUAAUAAUAAUAAUAAUAAAUAUAAAAAAUGAUGGUGUCAGCCAUCACCCUAAAAUAUAUAUAUAUAUAUAUAAUAAUAGGUGCAUGAUUAAAAAAACAAAAAAAAAAAGGAAAUGAAGGUGGUGGUGCGUCUGGCACCAUGUGAUAAAAAAAAAGGGAAGUGGUAGGUGCAUCCAGCACCGAAAAAAAAUAAAAAAAAAUGAGGGAGCAUCUAGCACCAUGAGAAACAUAUACAAAUAAUAUAUAUAUAUAUAUAUAUAUAUAUAUAUAUAUAUAUAUAUAUAUAUAUAUAUAUAUAUAUAUAUAAUGCAUUUAGUAAAGUCCAUCUUUUAUUUAUUUCUCUAAAAAAUUUACAUAAAUUCGCGUUUCGCAUGUCAUAAAAAUUAAAAAAAAAAGAAAAAAAAAAGACAAAUCAAAUUUACAGGAGGGGAUCUUCAAGGUUGCUUGUUUGAAGCCGUACCACUCGGCGGAACUCCAGGAAGAAGAGGAGCCAAAGGUUGAUCAUCUGGAGCUUCAUUACGCGGUACAGCCCCAGAAGAUGAAGGCAAAUGCUGAUGGAACAAACCCACAAACCUCUGAUGAUCAAGUAAAAUCUGACCAUCAGAUUCCUGCAUCUGGUCAAUCUUCCUCUUCAUGUUUGUCGCAUAGUUAUGUGCGAGUUUAUGCAACUGUUUAUUCUCCUGCUUGAGCCCUCUAAUCUCCUGUUUGAGACUCAUCACUUCAGCCGCCAAUGAUUCAACUUGACGGGUUCGAGCAAAUAGGCGUUGGGCCAUAUUAGACACAGAACCUGCACACUGCACACUGAGAGCCAGAGAAUCCUUAACAGCCAACUCAUCAGACCGUUUGGAAAGUAGUCUGUUAUCUCUGGGAGUGACAAGGUUUCGGGCCACCACCGCAGCGGUCAUAUCAUUCUUCACCACCGAAUCCCCAACGGUAAGAGGACCAGUAGGGGAUAUGAAGGAUGGGCGCCAUAUGUUGUCUGGAGAAGGUGGGACUGCCUCUUCACCAAGGUUCAAAUCAAAACGACGGUCAAAGGGUCCAGACAUUUUCAAAGGUGUUGAAGAAAUAAAAGGUCGGACAAAUCAAGAUCUUAGAAGUGCAAGAAUGGAGUUUCUACAAGCGAAAAUUCAAGUGUGCUUUGAAACGAACUGCAUGCCUCUAUAAAAAUCAGCACUCAAUGAGAUUUCAGAGAUCGAAGAGGCGAGCUCAGAAUUCGAAGAGGUCAUUCAAAAAUCGAAAAGGCAAGCUCAUAAAUCGGAGAAGCAUCUUGCUUUUCCAGACGCGUCGGCACCCAUCACACGUAAACUCAGCUUUGCGGAAAUCACGGGCAAUUUGUCGAAGCGCCGAUCCUAGAUAUCGAAGAAGCGCUAGUCUUUUUCAGCCUCGUCAACACCUGUCAUAUGCACACUCAGCUUGGCGAAAAUUACGGACAAUUUGUCGAAGAUUUCUGAUAAGAAGAAAGCACGUGAAGCCAUACCGAUCAAUCACGCAUUGGUUGCCGACACGAGUAAAAGAAUAGUACCUCUACAGGUACUAAAGAAUUUCCUAUAACUGUCCACCUUCACCUUCCAUAGCAAGGCAGGCAUACAGAACCUUUCUUCAUCUCUGAGAACCUUUCUUCAUCUCCGAGAAUGUCUUCCCAACAAAGCCUCUCGGGUCACUCAGUGUUCCUUAUUCCUUGGGGUACCUCUGCAAACAAAUGACACCAAAGCAAAAGUAUCUCAUAUCACCAAGGUAGAAAGCAAAAGUAUCUUAUAUCAUGCACUCUCCCUGUCCUUUCAUUUGUCCUUGUUUUUACCUGCAAAGACAAGGAUAAAGAAAGCAAUAUGCCGGAACCUCCACUCAAACUCGGGUAAGGAACCGACUGCUUGGAACCCUUCCCUGAUUGCCUACCUAGCACUGCUCUCGAGUACUCGUCUCCCACUGUUGCUGUACUUCCAAAGAAGCUGUCACAUCUACCUGGAGAACAGAUAAGGCAAGUGAAAAUGAUACCUUGCAGCAUGUGGAGACAACGUGCAGAAGGAACAAGCAGAGAAGAAUGCGGUCUGCACAGUCAACUCAGCAGAAGGAAUCCGAGCUGAAGAACUCGAGAAACUGCCACAUCUGCCUGAAGAAACAAGCAGAAGAAUGCAGCAUGCACAGUUAACUCAGCAGAAAGAGUCUGAGAUGAAGAACUCGAGAAGAUGCCACAUCUGCCUGAGGAACAGAUAAAGCAAGGGAAAAUAAUACAUUGAAGCAUGUGGAGACAAGUGCAACAAAGCACGUGCUGAGUCAUCCGCUACUUCUUCAAAAUCAAAAGUAUCUCAUAUCAUCAGGGUUGAAAUCAUUCUGGACGGUGAACUUGUUUUGACCCUCAAAUUCUUGGGUCGACUUACUAGGCGUUGUGGGCUGCACGUGCCGAUUCACCACCCUUGAAUCAAAUCCUUAAAGAUCAAGUCACCAACUGGAAGAAUAGCCCAUCAAUCUUGAAGAUCACACCGUUGACCAAACUGCUCAGGUGUGAAUUAGAAAGAUUGAACAAAGCAACAAGUCGUCACCUUCACCUCGUGCCUGCUUGCCAUGUGUUCGAGUUAACCUUCAAGAAUCAAGCCUCAACGGCCCUUGAAGAAGUUUCCAGCCAAAUUCAAGAUCAAGCCUCGAUGGCCCUUGAGGAAAUCACAAGUCCGAUUCAAGAUCAAGUGUCUAUCACCCUUGAAUCAAAACCAGUUCAAGAAUAAGCUGUGGAAAGUCAACAAGUGCAACAAAAUACGUGCCGAUUCAUCCACUACCAAAGCCAAGGAUCAUCUACCACAUGAAGCUCCUUGUGGUCCAAUUUCAACCUUCAAGAUCAAGCCUCGACGGCCCUUGAAGAAAUUUCAAACAAAAGUUCAAGAACAAGCCUCAACGGCCCUUGAAGAAAUCUCCAGCCCAAUUCAAGAUCAAGCCUCGACGGCCCUUGGAUCGACAUCUACAGUAAGGGACUUCAAAACGCAUCUCCUACACGUGACAAGCACAUGUAUACGACGUGCCUUGAAGUGGGGGCAUUUGUAGACAUCGAAAUUUCGGUAAAUAAAUGUUGACCGAUAAAUCAAAGUGUCAACGCUCAUGUAUUACAUAAAUUUUACACAUAGCGUGUGACUCAACGAAAAUUGAAAUGAGUUGGAAAAGUCAUCAAAUAGGACACGUGUCAACACCUGGCAGAAACGACUUAUUUCAUCUGGGAUAUUAUAUUCAAAAUUAGGCCUUGGAAAAUUUUAUAAAUACAAGCCAAUUUCAUUCAUUUGGGGGGAACCAAAAUCAUUAAGCAAGCUCUGAAGCUCUGAAACUCUGAAACUCCGAAGCUCUCAAGCAUCCAGGUUCCCGAAGAAUCAAGAAAGCUCUCUUCGUUCUUCGUUCAUCGUUCUUCCAAGAUCAAGCCCCAACGGCCCUUUAGAUCAACAAUCAUCCACCAAUUCAAGAUCAAGCCCCGACGGCCCUUGAAGAAAGCAUCGCCGUUCAUCAUCCGUUCAUCCAAGAUCAAGCCCCAACGGCCUUUUGGAUUAACAACGUCGACAAAUCCACACACAUCCAACCGUUCUUCAAGAUUAAGCCCAAAAGCCCUUGAAGAUCUGUUCAUCACUGUUUCUUCAAGAUCAAGCCCAAAAGCCCUCGAAGAUCCGUUCAUCACCGUUCCUCAAGAUCAAGCCCCAACGGCUCCUUGAAGAUCCGCUCAAAUCCACUUUCAAAGAUCAAGCCCACGGCCCUUAAAGAACGUUCAUCCAAGAUCAAGCAUCGACGGCCCUUGGAUCAAUCGCACAUCCACCAAUCAACACCUUACAGAGAUCAAAUCAGAGGAUCAAAUUAGAGAGAGAUUGUAACCCAAAACUAUCAAAAUACAAAUAUUUGUUUGUGCACGUUGUUCUUGUCUCUUUUGUUUCAGGAAUUUUCCGUGUUUACAAUAAUAACUAUAAAUAAUAUUGUAAAAUGUAUGUUAUAAAUAUUUUUAACGAAUUCAUAACGAAUCGAACUGAAUAUCGUACUGUCUAUGUGUACCUUAUGACGAAUGGUACUUUAGGUUACUACCGAAUUCCGUACCCGAAUUGAACCACGAACUCGAACCGAACCCGUAUCUAGCAAUUAUUGGAAACAUUUUUUUUUUUUGGUUUUUUUUACUGAUAUUAGUAGUUUUUUAGGGUUUAAUUAUUUGAUUUCACAAAUUCAUUAGACACAUUACAUUGUUACAUUUUAAAUUCGUAUUUCAUAACUUGGUUGCUUGAUUCUAAUGUCGAUCCGUUACAACAGAAGUGAACUUUUUCUACUUUAAGCAUGGAAUUUUUGCUUUUGUUUUUAUUGUUGUUGCCUUGAUUGUGGUUAUCUGACUUAUUAAUACUCCAUCAUAUAUUGAGCAAUAUCAUGCGGCUCAAAGAAUUUCGUUAUGUGUUUACGCGUAUUUUGUAACAUCCCACAUCGACUAGGGGAGUGAUCCUUAAAUAUAUAUUCUCAUCCCUACCUAGCAUGAGUCAUUUUGGGAGCUCACUGGCUUCGGGUUCCGUAGGAACUCCGAAGUUAAGCAAGAAUGGGCCAAGAGCAAUCCCAUGAUGGGUGACCCACUGGGAAGUUGCUCGUGAGUUCCCAGAAACAAAACCGUGAGGGAAUGGUAAGCCCAAAGCGGACAAUAUCGUGCUACGAUGGUAGAGCAGGUCCGGGAAGUGAUAUGCCUCGGGUCGGGAAGUGACAAAUGGUAUCAGAGCCAAUCCUUGGCCGGAAGUGUGUCAAUGAGGACGUUGGGCCCCUAAGGGGGGUGGAUUGUAACAUCCCACAUCGCCCAUGGGAGUGAUCCUUAAAUGUAUAUUCUCAUCCCUACCUAGCACGAGACCUUUUGGGAGCUCACUGGCUUCGGGUUCCGUAGGAACUCCGAAGUUAAGCAAGAAUGGACCAAGAGCAAUCCCAUGAUGGGUGACCUACUGGGAAGUUGUUCGUGAGUUCCCAGAAACAAAAUCGUGAGGGAAUGGUAAGCCCAAAGCGGACAAUAUAGUGCUACGGUGGUGGAACAGGCCUGGGAAGUGAUUCGCUCCGAGCCGGGAUAUGACAUAUUUUGUCCUCUGAAUAAUUCUAAUCAAAUUCCAUUGCUCCUAAGCUAAGGUCAAAAUUUGUAGCAUAUAAGGGAAGGUUAGCAGAUACUUACCAAUUAUCCAGAGCUGGAUAUUAAGGUCUAAUUAACAUUAAUAUCUUUUUGUUUGUGUAGCAUCUGCUUGGAAAAGGUUUCAACUUUAUUUUUUAUUUGUUUGAUGAUCAAUUGAUGUAUUUUAUAAAAGUUGAUCUGCAAGAUGUUAAGAUGAUUUCUUUGUUUAUGUAUACUGUUUAAUUAUAUCAAUGGAAAUUGGUGCUGCCAUUGUGGCAGUAGAUGAAUUUCUGGCUUUUGAGAUGAAGUACUAAAAAAUUUUGAUUUCUUUUUUCUUUGCAUGCUUUUCUUUUAAUUUUGCAGGAAUUCUCACGUUGCUUUGAUUAAGUUAUACAUGGCCAUGAUAAGGUAUUGCUCACCCCCACAACAUUUUGUACAUGUGUGGCAUUAAUAUAUUUUGUUUUCUGAUUGAAUUUGUUUUCAUUCAAUGGGGUUGGUGAGCUAAAUAGCAAGUGGCUUUUUAAUCGUGUUUAAAUUGAUGUCCUAAUUUCGUUGGUUUUGUUCAUAAUUAGUGUGUUAUGUUGUUUUCCUGUGUGUUUUAUGUGUUUGUUAAUUUAUGGGAGUCUUCACAAGAAAUGUUGUGUACAAAAAUAUUUUUCUUCCAUCAUAUGUAUGAUAACAUUACAUUCAUUCUUUUAAUGUUUAAUUCACUUUUCAAAGCCAUGUAGAUAAAUACAUUUAAAUUGUAUAAAUCGCGCGUAGAAUGCCGUAAUUAUAAAAAGGCCUUCCGCACGCGCUAAUCGACAUAGGGGCCUUGAACAAAAAAAAAUUGAUGUAGGGGCACAAAAAGGCACGAGAUCUAGCAUUAAACAUCUAAAAAUGCCCGUUGCUUCACGAUAAUACCAUUGUUACAAUAUGGCCGCAAAUUGAGAGAUUUGGACCAUUCAAGAGAGUGAGAUAUAAGUCGUUCGAGUUUUUAGGUUUUUGUGAGAUGGAUCACUGAAAUGUGAGGACUGUAAAUUAAAUUGAAUUGUCCGAAUCUCUUAAUUGACAAACAUCGAACAUGAAGAUAACGAGUGGAUCUCAAUCCUCAAAUUAUUGUCGUUGGUUGGCUCCUUUUCCUUUUCGCUACUUUUGUGUUCCCACGUGGUAUUUGGUUAGAGUUAAUUUACAUUACUGGUAUCAUCACAUUUUAAUUCUACAACUGGAAACAAAAGCAACCCAAAGAAGGCCAAACUACAAGGCCAGUCUUGAGUAUUUUCAUGCUUGGGACGAACACUCAAAAUGUGUCUUUUUUUAAUACACCAACAUAUAAUAAAAAAAUAUGUAAAGAGGGCUGGAAACCAGUCGAAGCUGGGGGGCUAGGCCCUCACGCCCAUAUUAUAUUACUAGAAGAAAAACAUACAACGGGAGGACAUGGGACCUAAACCCGUCGAUUAAAAGCAAAAUCAUAUACAACCACUCCGAGUAGUCAACAUGGCCAUCACAUAUUGAAUCCAAAAAGUUGAUGCUCCAUUCACCACACAUAAUGUACAGAAGAUAACAAAAUUACUACCACUUAAAGCUCAUAACAUUGAGUAAAAAGAAUCAUCUGAAAAGACGAACAGAUGCAUCAAUUCUAUUAGAGAAGCCAAUCAUGCGGUAUACUUUGAAGAAGAUAAGGAAAACCUGAUCAACAUAUAUCUUGACCAUUCUAAGUGCAAAUUUAGAAGUGAUAUGCUCCAAGUAUGAUAUUGGACAGAAAAGACCAGGCAGAUUCAACCAGUUCUGCUGUGUCCGGCUGGGUGAGAGCAGCUAAAGACAUGAUUGUUCCCUAAUAACAUGAAUAAAUUGAGUAAACACCAAAAGUAGCAGCAAGGGAAGGAGAUGUGAUGUAGAUGAAGAGGUGUAAAACCUGUGAAUGUCCAACAACAAAGACUUUGGAGCUUGUCGUCGAGGUUAUGCAGCGCAUCAUUUCUGUCUCUUCUGAUAAAGAUGUGUGUCCAUGACUCCAUCGUGUUCCACGCACAUUCCCUACGCAUACAUCAAAACCUUCAUCUCCCAGCGAUUCUUCUCGAGAGUUUAAGAACGAUGCAUCACCUGGUUAAGAUCAAGAAAAGCCAGUAACCAAGUUCAAUGGAGUUUGAAGCACAUUAGAGCCUAAUUUAUAAUGUAUCCCAUGGAUGUUCAUCACUUUACUCAAUAGUUAGUUUUCAAGAAAAUAAAUUUCAACAGAACCUGAAAACUUCAGAUCAGGGAGCACCAUAUUGUGAGCUAUAUAUUCAAAUUCUGAAACAAUCGACUUAGUGGUAUGUUGAAAAAAAUCAGAAGGAGCUAUCAAAGUAAGGCUUUUCACUAAUCAGGCGUCGAGAGAUUCAAUAUUUUACUCACAAAUCAGUUAUGGGGAAACACUCCCCACCAAAGCAAUCUCAUUAGUCCUUCACAUCUCAAACCAGACAGAAAUUGCACUAACAAACACGACUUCUAUUAGUCCUUCACAUUCCAAACCCAGUAAGUAGCCAACUUUCGUCUGAAUCUGGAAAACAAGAAGCAGUGAAUUUAAUUUAUCUUGGUAUCUCAAAGUUACUCAGUUUAAUCACAAAUUUAACAAUUAAACAUAUAAAUGGGCAAAUUUUUAGUGAAAUAUUAAUUAGUAUAGUACUCACUGUUUGCUCGGAGCAAGAGUACAUUUGAUCCGCUGCAGAGUUUAAGAUGUCCUCUCACGCUUCCAUGCAACACUGAGACAUUUGAUCCGCUGUUGAAGCUCAACACGAACAUUGUGUAUAAAAUACGCGACCAUCCAACUACACAGUUCAAAACUCAAUUUAGAGCUCCUUCUAGUGAGAUAUUAAUGGAAGAAUGAAGGUACAAAACCAACAAAGAAAAAUAUGAAGAGGGACCUUGCAUGGGUGGCUACUUCCUAUAGUGUCAGUUAAUUUUAUGGUGGAAACUCAAACCCGUUCUUCGUUUAUCGCAUUCGCAGAAAUGAGGCACGUGUAUAAGCAAAAGCUCUAUGGUUAUUCGAUUCCUUCAUCCCAUCUGUUUCUUCUUUGAAUCAGUACUGCAUAUCCAUGAAAGUACAUUAAGAAGCAAAACCAAAACCGAAAAAGUUUGAAAGCUUUUUUAUAUAGUUUGGAAAUUGCCAAGAACUGACACGGUUGUGCAAUAUGAUAAUUGAAUUAAAGAAGUCCGUACAAAUUGUCAUCUGGCCGGUUACUUGGUAGCUUCAAUUCCAUCUAAACGCUUAAACCGUCCUUGGUUUCAGCACCUGAAAAAGACAAGGGAAAUUAAAGAGAAAUUAAAAAAAUUGAAGUAAUCACCACAGGUGGCUCAGUGUUUGGGUAUAAAUUCCAGAUUCGUAUUUCACAUGGCACGUCUUGGAUUUGAUUUUUAGUAUUGGUGAAUCACACAAUGGUGACCAGGAAGAGGCUAAAAUGAAGUCUCUAAAAUAGUAGACUGCCGUGUCGAAGUCACUAAUUGAUUUCCUUUUAAAAAAUAAAUAAAAAUAAGUGAAGUUAGUGGGUAAAGAAUGCAUACUUCUUUGCUUUGGAAUCAGUGUUGCUCAACGAGAAAGCAAAAGUGUGGAUAAAAUCUUUGACCAUAUGGUAUGUCAUCUGAAAAGAAAAAUAAAAUGUUGGUGAUGAAUGAAGAAUGAAGAAUAAAAUUAAGAAACGAGAAUGACAUUUGAAUAUUUUAUAGUUUCUACUGAAUAAAGCUAGUGCAAAUUGAAACAAGUUAGAAAACGUACCUUAAUAAAUAUUAGAAAUGGAUGGGAUGUGAGCAAUCUUAGGCCAAUCCUCACCUGUUUCUUUCUUGCAUCUUUCGCUUAACAUGUCGCAAUACGAAAUUUCCAAUCUAUUUAAGUUGGGGAGUCGACGAAUCCCUUCUGGCAGUGAUGCCAAAUUAGGGCAAAAUUCUUGCAAGGUGCUGCAGUGACGUGAGAUUGCUUAUUUCUUCCAGUAGUGAUACCAACUUUGGGAAAGAUCCAAUCGUAAGCGAUUGGAGUGAUGGGAGGUUGACGACCACUUCUGGCAGUAAUGUCAGAUUAGAGCAAUCUCCAAUUGUAAGCUUCUGAAGUGAUGUAAGAUUGGCGAUCCCUUCUAACAUUGAUGUCAAAUUGGAGCAAUUUCUAACUGUAAGCUCCCGAAAGGAUGCGAGGUUGCCCAUCCCAUGAUAUGGUAGUAAUGCCAAAUUUGGGCAACUGGCAAUGUAAAGCGAUUGGAGUGAUGGGACGUUGCCCAUUCCUUGAGACGUUAUACAUUCCAAAUCCUCAAUUUUAACUAGUGACAGAUGUGUUAAUUUGGAGAGAUGAGCGGAAGAAGAAGAGGCAGAGACAACAACACCAACAUCAUGUGUAAUAUCAGAUGCUCCUCUACCAAACAAGGAAUCAACAACCUUCCAGCUGCUCUUAUAGAGAGAUAUUGUCUCCACAUUUGGAUAUAGAGGCAUGGAAGUUAGAUUAGGACAAUCCCAGAUCCAAAAUGUAGAAAGACAGGGAAAAGAAGGCAACGACAGAUUUUCCGUUGAUGAAGGAGAAGAAGCACUGUUAUGAGUGUGCGCCCUCCACCAUCCCUUCAGAACAGGGCAAUUUACAACCCUGAGGAACUCCAGGGACGUCAUCAUCUCAUCACUCAUACUAUUACUGCUGCUGGUAUUGUCUGAUAUGUACUUCAAUUUCUCAAACCCUUCAAGUUGAAGAGACUUAAGGGAUGGGAAAUGAUCCAAGGGUGGAAGAUGUUGACAUCUAUGACACCCAGUCAAUCUGAGAUCAACAAGAUUUAUGAGAGAAGAAAACCAACUCGCAAACCUCACACCACCAUAAUAAUACACGAACAACUUCUUUAGAUUUGAACGGGGUUGCAAUACUUCCAUUGACAAUAUAAUAUCCUUCUCAUCACCGCCUUAAGUAGAAUAUGACGUUGUCAACAAAUUAAUGAAAUAAACGCAAUUAGCCAUAUAUCUUUUUUAUUUUUUUAGAAAAAAUAACUAAAAGUUAAAAAAACCUUCGUAAAAAGUCAUUUUUAAAAGUAUAAUAAAUAAUACAAAAAAAAAAUUUAAAUAUGAUUUUUUAAAAAAAGUAAAUUAUACCGAAAAUAUUUUGUUAAACCUCUUUUUUUUUUUCGUCAAAUUAGCCAUCUAUCUUUUAUACAUUAAGGCGGUGGCCCAGUUUGGGGUCACGGGCUUGGACAAAAAUAAUAGGACGAAAAUGCCUCUCAGCCAAAAAAAUUCAAAACAUCAAAAAAGAAUGCAUAAAAUAAUCGAAGGAUAAUUAUGUAAAUUUACUUUUUAAUAAAAUAAUGCCCUGCUUCUUCUACAAUCUUCCACACCGUUCCAUUUUCUCAGUAGGCACCGAUCAGUCGAACACCGUCCAGGAAUGCGUCUCCGAAUUCAUUAGCUUCGUCACCAGCGAGUAAUUUUCACCUCUCUCUCUCUCUCUCUCUAUCUCUCUUUCUCUCUCUACUGUUAUUUACUUUUCCUUUCAAUCGGACUUUUUUGUAUUGAUUUUGAAUUGGGAUUUUUUGGGGUGUCUAGGGCCAGCGAUAAGUGCCAGAAGGAGAAGCGAAAGACCAUCAACAGCAACGAUUUGUUGUGGGCGAUGGCCACGUUAGGGUUUGAGGACUAUAUCUGCAUAUAAUUAGUAUAUAGGAUCUUUUUUUUUUUAUCGAAAGUUUUUUUUUCACCUUUUGGUUUAGGCUUCUCUAAGAUAUCGAAGCUAUAUUUAAUGAUUUCAUGUUUUAUUUAAUUGUGUUACAUCUUAAUUUGAUGGUGUUUACAGAAGGAUACAUGUAGAUGUAGCAAUUGUUUUGUAAGAGCCAAAGAAAAUGUACAUCGGCUUGGGUUAGCAGUUGCUAUUUCAUCCCACAGAUGGAGACGCUAUUGAUAUUGAGUAAUCUUCAAAGAAAGUCACCUCUUCAGAGAAGCAAUAUGGCAGCAUUCGUUAAGCACUUUCCAAGGUACGGACUUCACCAAUCCUAGGUUUUAGUUUGUUUCUAAUUUAUUGAGUUUUUAGGGGCAUAUUAUGUAAUUAAAGGGGAAGGAGGGGUCCAAUUUGGUUUCGAAAUCUUGAAUCUGAUCAAAUGAAAGAAUCAAAAUUCAAAGAUAAUAUGCCACCAAUCAUAGGACUCUGACUUCCAACUCUGCUGCUGCACUGAAGGAUCAUACUUUUCUUCAUACAUUGGAAACAUUUUUUGUUUUUUUUGGUUUUUUUUACUGAUAUUAGUAGCUUUUUAGGGUUGAACUAUUUGAUUUCACAGAUUCAUUACAGACACAUUACAUAGUUACAUUUUAAAUUCGUAUUUCAUAACUUGGUUGCUUGAUUCUAAUGUCGAUUCGUUACAACAGAAGUGAACUUUUUCUACUUUAAGCAGGAAUUUUUGCUUUUGUUUUUAUUGUUGUUGCCUUGAUUGUGGUUAUCUGACGGAUUAAUACUCCAUCAUAUAUUGAGCAAUAUCGUGCGGCUCAAAGAAUUUCGUUAUGUGUUUACGCGUAUUUUGUACUCUGAAUAAUUGUAAUCAAAUUCCAUUGCUCCUAAGCUAAGGUCAGAAUUUGUAGCAUAUAAGGGAAGGUUAGCAGAUACUUACCAAUUAUCCAAAGCUGGAUAUUAAGGUCUUUAACAUUAAUAUCUUUUUGUAUGUGUAGCAUCUGCUUGGAAAAGGUUUCAACUUUAUUUUUUAUUUGUUGGAUUGAUCAAUUGAUGUAUUUUAUGAAAGUUGAUCUGCAAGAUGUUAAGAUGAUUUCUUUGUUUAUGUAUACUGUUUAAUUAUAUCAAUGGAAAUUGGUGCUGCCAUUGUGGCAGUAGAUGAAUUUCUGGCUUUUGAGAUGAAGUACUAAAAAAUUUUGAUUUCUUUUUUCUUUACAUGCUUUUCUUUUAAUUUUGCUGGAAUUCUCACGUUGCUUUGAUUAAGUUAUACAUGGCCAUGAUAAGGUAUUGCCCGUCCCCACAAACAUUUUGUACAUGUGUGGCAUUAAUAUAUUUUGUUUUCUGAUUGAAUUUGUUUUCAUUCAAUGGGGUUGGUGAGCUAAAUAGCAAGUGGAUUUUUAAUCGUGUUUAAAUUGAAGUCCUAAUUUCGUUGGUUUUGUUCAUAAUUAGUGUGUUAUGUUGUUUUCCUGUGUGUUUUAUGCGUUUGUUAAUUUAUGGGAGUCUUCACAAGAAAUGUUGUGUUCAAAAAUAUUUUUCUUCCAUCAAAUGUAUGAUAACUUUACAUUCAUUCUUUUAAUGUUUAAUUCACUUUUCAAAUCCUUGUAGAUAAAUACAUUUAAAUUGUAUAAGUCGCGCGUCGAAUGCCGUAAUUAUAAAAGGGCCUUCCGCACGCGCUAAUCGACAUAGGGGCUUUGAACCAAAAAAAAAAAAAUCGACAUAGGGGCGCAAAAAGGCACGAGAUCAAACAUUAAACAUCUAAAAACGUCUGUUGCUUCACGAUAAUACCUUUGUUACCUUUGUUACAAUGUGGCUGCAAACCGAGAGAUUUGGACCAUUCAAAAGAGAGUGAGAUAUGAGUCGUCCAAGUUUUAGGUUUUUAUGAGGUGGAUCACUGAAAUGUAAGGACUAAAUUAAAAUUGAAUUGUCCGAAUCUCUUAAUUGACAAACAUCGAACACAAAGAUAACGAGUGGAUCUCUAUCCCCAAAUUAUAGUCGUUGGUUGGUUCCUUUUCCUUUUUGCUACUUUUGUGUUCCCACAUGGUAUUUGGUUAUAGUUAAUUUACAUUACUGGUAUCACCACAUUUUAAUUCUACAACUGGAAACAAAAGCAACCCAAAGAAAACCAAACUACAAGGCCAGACCUGAGUAUUUUGGUGCUCGAGGCGAACACUCAAAAUGUGUCUUUUAAUACACCAACAUAUAAUAAAAAAAAUUAAUAUUUAAAGAGGGCUGGAACUCAGUCGAAGCUGGGGGGCUAGGCCCUCACGCCCGUAUUAUAUUACUUGAUCAAAAACAUACAACGGGGGGACAUAGUAUCCAAACCCGUUAAUCAAAAGCAAAUUCAUAUACAACCACUCCGAGCAGUCAACAUGGCCAUCACAUAUUGAAUCCAAAAAGUUGAUGCCCCAUUCACCACACAUAAUGUAACAGAAGAUAUCAAAAUUACUACUACUAAAAUCUCAUAACAUUGAGUAAAAAGAAUCAUCUGAAAAGAUGAACAGAUCAUCAAUUCUAUUAGAGAAGCCAAUCAUGCGGUAUACUUUGAAGAAGAUGAGGAAUACCUGAUCAACAUAAAAGACCAGGCAGAUUCAACCAGUUCUGCUAUGUCCGGCUGGGUGAGAGCAGCUAAAGACAUGAUUGUUCCCUAAUAACAUGAAUAAAUUGAGUAAACACCAAAAGUAUAGCAGCAAGGAAAGGAGAUGUGAAGUAGAUGAAGAGGUGCAAAACCUGUGAAUGUCCAACAGCAAGGACUUUGGAGCUUAUUGUCGAUAUAUGCAGCGCAUCAUUUCUGUCUCUUCUGAUAAAGAUGUGUGUCCAUCUAAACGCUUGAACCGUCUUUGGUUUCAGCACCUGAAAAAGACAAGGGAAAUUAAAGAGAAAUUAAAAAAAUUGAAGUAAUCACCACGGGUGGUUCAGUGUUUGGGAACAAAUUCCAAAUUCGUAUUUCACAUGGCAAGUCUUGGGUUUAAUUUUUAGCAUUAGUGAAUCACACGAUUGUGACCAGAAAGAGGCUAAAAUGCAGCCUCCAAAAGAGUACACUGCCGUGUCGAAGUUACUAGUUGGUCCCUUUUAAAAAAAAUAAUAAUAAUUGAAGUUAGUGGGUAAAGAAUGCAUACUGCUUUGCAUUGGAUUCGGUGUUGCUCAACUAGAAAGUAAAAGUGAGGACAAAAUCAUUGAGUAUAUGGUAUGUCAUCUGAAAGAAAAAUAAAAUGUUGGUGAUGAAUGAAGAAUGAAGAAUAAAAUUAAGAAACGAGAAUGACAUUUGAAUAUUUUAUAUUUUAUACUGAACAAGGCAAGUGCAAAUUGAAACAAGUUAGAAAACAUACCUUACAAAUUAUGAAUAGAAAUGGAUGGGAUGUGAGCAAUCUUAGGCCAGUCCUCCCCUGUUUCCUUCUCGCAUCUUUCGCUUAACACGGGGCAUCUCCAAAUUCCCAAUGUAUUUAAGUUGGGGAGUCGACGAAUCCCUUCUGGCAGUGAUGCCAAAUUAGGGCAACUUUGAAUUUCAAGGUUCUGCAGUAACGUGAGAUUGCUUAUUUCUUCCGGUAGUGAUACCAAAUUUGGGAAAGAUACAAUCGUAAGCGAUUGGAGUGAUGGGAGGUUGACGACCACUUCUGGCGGUAAUGUCAGAUCAGAGUAUUCUCCAAUUGCAAGCUUCUGAAGUGAUGUAAGAUUGGCGAUCCCUUCUAACAUUGAUGUCAAAUUGGAGCAAUUUGUAACUGUAAGCUCCCGAAAGGAUGCGAGGUUGCCCAUCCCAUGAUAUGGUAGUAAUGCCAAAUUUGGGCAAUCUUUAAUGUCAAGCGAUUGGAGUGAUGGGACGUUGCCCAUUCCUAGUGACGUUACACAUUCCAAAUCCUCAAUAUUACUGAGUGACAGAUGUGUUAAUUUGA
rnacentral:lncRNA from 1 species